UCAAAUUAAUAUUAUUAAAGCCAUAAUUUAUCUUAACAGCUACAUUCUACAUAAAUACUUCGGUCUGCCAGAAAAACUAGGCGAGACCUGAAACUCAGAAAAUUUACAACUGAUACAUCUACUAUUACUACUGCGGAGAAUCUAAGAUUUACCAAUUUACAUACCAAAUCAAAUACAUCACCCGAUGAUGAAGGAGUCGGGUUACUAAAUAAGAGUCGCGAGAGGACUAACAGUCACGAAUCUGAAAAACAGUAAAAAUGAGACUGUCAGUCUCGAGAGUGAGUUAAAAUCAAAUAAUCUGGGGACUAUUGCAUUCAUCUCAGAAAACAUAGAUUAUUCAAAUCAGUAUAUCAAACCAUGCACAUAAAUACCAAUCAUACUAUAAUCAUACCCUAUUACUUUCUUCACAGAAAAUAUUGAUCAUUCGAAUCAAUAUAUCAACCAUGCAUGUAAAUACAAUCCAUAUUAUAAUCAUACCAUAAUCAAUAAAUAAAUGAAUAAAUAAAAAUAUAUUUUUACUUUUACGGGACGAGUGGCUCAGUAGAACCCUAACCCCAAAUUCUAACAGCCAUUUUGGCUCUCUUAAUCCAAUAAGACUGGCGCCCCGAGAGCAAUGCUCGACCAGGGACCUUACUUCCAGUCUGGUCACUUAAGUAUCCAAAUAAGCCGGCGCCCCGAGAGCAAUGCUCGACCAGGGACCUUACCUCCGGCAAUUUACACAAAUCAGCCCAGAGAGCCAUGCUCGACCAGGGCAAACCCAUAAAAAUCUGAUUACAUGUCCAUGAUCAUUACCGGUGCGCACGCGGUCCUGAUGUAACCCAUCAGGCGGCAUGUUCUACGAAAGCCACAUCCCCAAAUCGAAAUCAUCACAUAUAAUAAAUAUCAUUGUAUAAUGAAAUCAUUCAACCAUAUCAAAAUAACAAUUAAUAAUUAAGAGUAAGACAUCAGGCAACUCAUGUGGAAAACUGACUAUAUUUGGUAUUAUUAUAACAUUACUAUAAUAAUACUUAUAUUAUCUUCAUUAAUUAAUAAUCCAGUAAAAUUAUUUACAUUGCGAUACUAAUAACCAAAUUAAGCAUAAACUUCCAAAAUAGCAUAUUAAAAUCAAACUUAGCAAUAGUGCAAUGAUUAAAUGACUUUAACUCACAAAAUUGGGCGACCUCCUAGCUCUGCUCCGGUGCCUCAGUUGGAGCGAGCCGAACAGACAGAUCAUC
rnacentral:lncRNA from 1 species